UACGAAGGGGGCUAGCGUUGCUCGGAUUGACUGGGCGUAAAGGGCGCGUAGGCGGUUCGUACAGUCAGACGUGAAAUUCCUGGGCUCAACCUGGGGGCUGCGUUUGAUACGUGCGGACUUGAGUGCGGAAGAGGGUCGUGGAAUUCCCGGUGUAGUGGUGGAAUGCGUAGAUAUCGGGAGGAACACCAGUGGCGAAGGCGGCUACCUGGACCAGCACUGACACUGAGGCACGAAAGCGUGGGGAGCAAACAGGG
rnacentral:rRNA from 1 species